AGCACCACAACGGGUGGAGCUUGCGGUUUAAUUGGAUUCAACGCCGGAAUCUUACCGGGACCGACAGCAAUAGUCGAAGGCCAGGCUGAAGACUUUGCCGGAUUAGCUGAGAGGUGGUGCAUGGCCGUCGUCAGUUCGUACUGUGAAGCAUCCUGUUAAGUCAGGCAACGAGCGAGACCCACGCCCACAAUUGCCAGCGUACUCUCUGGAGUGACGGGUACACUGUGGGGACCGCCGCUGCUAAAGCGGAGGAAGGAAUGGGCAACGGUAGGUCAGUAUGCCCCGAAUAUCCCGGGCUACACGCGAGCUACAAUGGUUGGUACAAUGGGUAUCUACCCCGAAAGGGGACGGGAAUCUCCUAAAACCAAUCUUAGUUCGGAUUGAGGGCUGCAACUCGCCCUCAUGAAGCUGGAAUCCGUAGUAAUCGCGUUUCAACAGAACGCGGUGAAUACGUCCCUGCUCCUU
rnacentral:rRNA from 1 species